ensembl:lncRNA
AGGAGAGGGUUACGGGCAGUCGCGUGACACGCACGGAUCGAACAUGUAUCUCUGUGUUGCAGGACACAGCUCCUUUCAGCAUGGCCGGAGGAGAGGGUUACGGGCAGUCGCGUGACACGCACGGAUCGAACAUGUAUCUCUGUGUUGCAGAUGUGCAGUAAAGAGCCAAAGAUUCGACACUGUCUCCUGCCUCUUGCUUCAACACCAAAACACAACGCAGAACAGCAGGCGUAACAAUUAGACGGGUUACACA